rnacentral:tmRNA from 1 species
GGGGGCGAUUUAGGUUCGACAGAGGUAAAGUUGGCGAAGGAAGCGAGCCGCGGACCAUGGCCGCGCUAAAACAUGGAAAGGCAUAACUGCCAACAACGAUUACGCACUGGCUGCGUAGUUAACGCAGCCCAUCCGCCUGGCCUAAGCUUGCGAGGCCAGCCCCGGAUGUCAUUUUAGCAAGCUACCGGCUGCUGUUGCUCUCACUUCAGCCGGGAAAUUUAGAGAGCUAGCCCAAAUCGGAUCCGGCUUCCGGGAGCCGGUACGGGUGAACAUUAAAGCGGAAGCUACGCUCGUAGAUGCCUUUGUGGACUUACUUUUGGACGGGAGGUGCAAUUCCUCCCCGCCUCCACCA